rnacentral:rRNA from 1 species
UACGGGGGGGGCAAGCGUUGUUCGGAAUUACUGGGCGUAAAGGGCCAGUAGGCGGCCAACUAAGUCGGAUGUGAAAUCCCCAGGCUUAACCUGGGAACUGCAUCCGAUACUGGAUGGCUUGAAUUCGGGAGAGGGAUGCAGAAUUCCAGGUGUAGCGGUGAAAUGCGUAGAGAUCGGGAGGAACACCUGUGGCGAAGGCGGCCACCUGGGCCGACCCUGACGCUGAGGCGCGAAGGCGUGGGGAGCGAACGGG